GCUUUGUGUCUCUGCCUUGGAAAGGUGAUUGCUUCAACUUAUUUUGGUAAUUCAAUAUUCAUUUUGGUGAAAUGAAAUUCAAUUCUCUGGGUUGGUGUUUCUGGAAAAUGCGUCUGUUUGUUGUUGAUUCUAUUCGUCUUGUGUAUUAGUGGACUAAUAGAUGGAACAGGCUUUGCAAGAAGUAUUGAGAAUUACUUGAAGGUUGGUUUGAGGUUUCAUGUGAGGCUGAUGAGUUCAGUUAUAUAGGUUGCUCAGAAUGCUUUACUAUAGACUUUUAGGUAGGGUGAUACAAGAUAUUUUCACUUAUAUUUUCUGCUUGAUAAAAUUUUUUUCACAUCCUUUCUGCAAAUAGUCAAA
rnacentral:misc_RNA from 1 species